UCUCAGUUCGGAUUGCAGGCUGCAACUCGCCUGUAUGAAGUCGGAAUUGCUAGUAAUCGCGGAUCAGCAUGCCGCGGUGAAUACGUUCCCGGGCCUUGUACACACCGCCCGUCACACUAUGAGAGCCGGGAACACCCGAAGUCCGUAGUCCAACCUCGUGAGGACGCUGCCGAAGGUAGGAUUGGCGACUGGGGUGAAGUCGUAACAAGGUAUC
rnacentral:rRNA from 1 species